AAAUACUGCCACCUUGCUUGCAGAAAAAAAAAGCUUGUCAGAAACUUGUUCAACACUUCAGCAAAUCAAGAUUAAUUCUUCAGCAGCUUGAACAGAAAGUUCACAAUGUUCAUUUAAUAAUGCUACUUCUGUAGUAUUAGUAUUAUUAUUUUGUUUUGCAAAGCAAAUAUGUUUAAAAUUCAAUUUUAAAAUCAACCAACCUAAUUGAUUUUAUUUUUAUUUUUUUAUUUUAGAGACCCAGAGAAAUCACCAGGGAAGUACAAUUUUCUUGCCUUAUGUUUAAAUCAGGCACAAAAUCAGAAUCUUCCAGAGGCCAGCAGAAAAAAAGAUGCUGUUUAAGAAAAAGACAACAGUUUCUGCCAGUAUAAAAACAAAAGGUAAGAGUUCUCUCAGA
rnacentral:lncRNA from 1 species